AGUGCACGCUGGCGGUAGGCCUAACACAUGCAAGUCGAACGGCAGCACAGUAAGAGCUUGCUCUUACGGGUGGCGAGUGGCGGACGGGUGAGGAAUACAUCGGAAUCUACUUUUUCGUGGGGGAUAACGUAGGGAAACUUACGCUAAUACCGCAUACGACCUACGUGUGAAAGCAGGGGAUCUUCGGACCUUGCGCGAUUGAAUGAGCCGAUGUCGGAUUAGCUAGUUGGCGGGGUAAAGGCCCACCAAGGCGACGAUCCGUAGCUGGUCUGAGAGGAUGAUCAGCCACACUGGAACUGAGACACGGUCCAGACUCCUACGGGAGGCAGCAGUGGGGAAUAUUGGACAAUGGGCGCAAGCCUGAUCCAGCCAUACCGCGUGGGUGAAGAAGGCCUUCGGGUUGUAAAGCCCUUUUGUUGGGAAAGAAAAGCAGCAGGUUAAUACCCCGCUGUUCUGACGGUACCCAAAGAAUAAGCACCGGCUAACUUCGUG
rnacentral:rRNA from 1 species